rnacentral:rRNA from 1 species
CAGUCGCCACGGUAAUACGAAGGGGGCUAGCGUUGUUCGGAUUUACCGGGCGUAAAGGGCGCGUAGGCGGGCUGAUAAGUCAGGGGUGAAAUCCCAAGGCUCAACCUUGGAACUGCCUUUGAUACUGUUUGUCUUGAGUUCGAGAGAGGUAAGUGGAACUGCGAGUGUAGAGGUGAAAUUCGUAGAUAUUCGCAAGAACACCAGUGGCGAAGGCGGCUUACUGGCUCGAAACUGACGCUGAGGCGCGAAAGCGUGGGGAGCAAACAGGAUUAGAUACCCCAGUAGUCCCUGUCUCUUAUAC